AACGAACGCUGGCGGCAUGCCUAGCACAUGCAAGUCGAACGGGAUCCUGGCUUCGGCCAGGUGAGAGUGGCAGACGGGUGAGUAACGCGUGGGAACCUGCCCAAUGGUCUGGGAUAACCGCGGGAAACUGCGGCUAAUACCGGAUAAGCCCCGAGAGGGGCAAAGAUUUAUCGCCGAUGGAGGGGCCCCGCGUCCGAUUAGGUAGUUGGUGAGGUAAUGGCUCACCAAGCCGACGAUCGGUAGCUGGUCUGAGAGGAUGAUCAGCCACACUGGGACUGAGAUACGGCCCAGACUCCUACGGGAGGCAGCGGUGGGGCAAUAUUGGACAAUGGGGGUCAAGCCCUGAUCCAGCAAUGCCGCGUGAGUGAUGAAGGCCUAGGGUUGUAAUGCUCUUUGCCAGGGACGAUGAUGACGGUACCUGGAGAAUAAGCCCCGGCUAACUUCGUGCCAGCAGCCGCGGUAAUACGAAGGGGGUCGAGCGUUGUUCGGAA
rnacentral:rRNA from 1 species